AUUGAACGCUGGCGGCAUGCUUUACACAUGCAAGUCGAACGGUAACAGGGUGCUUGCACCGCUGACGAGUGGCGAACGGGUGAGUAAUGCGUCGGAACGUGCCGAGUAGUGGGGGAUAACGCAUCGAAAGGUGUGCUAAUACCGCAUACGUACUGAGGUAGAAAGUGGGGGACCUUCGGGCCUCACGCUAUUCGAGCGGCCGACGUCUGAUUAGCUAGUUGGUGAGGUAAAGGCUCACCAAGGCGACGAUCAGUAGCGGGUCUGAGAGGAUGAACCGCCACACUGGGACUGAGACACGGCCCAGACUCCUGCGGGAGGCAGCAGUGGGGAAUUUUGGACAAUGGGCGCAAGCCUGAUCCAGCCAUGCCGCGUGUCUGAAGAAGGCCUUCGGGUUGUAAAGGACUUUUGUCCGGGAGCAAAUGCCUGGUGUUAAUAGCACUGGGAGCUGAGAGUACCGGAAGAAUAAGCACCGGCUAACUACGUGCCAGCAGCCGCCGUAACAC
rnacentral:rRNA from 1 species